GGCUUCCUCUACUUCUCCUAAAAUUGUGCUGCUCCAGUUACUCAAGCUUUGACUCUCUCCGGCUUGGUCGUACCACUCAAUUCAUUGUUGGCCGUCUCCUCCGCUUCUGGGAUUCCCGCAACAUAAAAAAAGGCGGUGAGUUUUAUUGGAAUCACACUGCUCGAUCUUCCUGGAUGAAAAGAUAACAGAUUAGAUAAACAAAUCCAAACAGAGGAGAAGUCGCAAAGAAUUUGAGUCGGUUUAGACCUUACCUAGAUUAGUUGGGAUCUAUUGUAGUUGAUCGCCGUGACGAAGAACCCCUAAUUUCAAUGGACACCCUCAGAUCCAGCCCUGGAUCCCUGAAAACUCAGCGCAUUGUUUCCCAUUUUCAUUUUGACGAUCAUGGCUAUUCCAGUGGUGCCUUACACCAUGGUCAAGUUAAGCCGUGCUGUCUCCAAGAAACAAAGGACCAUUCGUUGUCAAUGUCUCGAGUGUGACAGCUCUGGGAAAUAUAAGAGAUCCUUAUUUAAAAAGAUCUCUAACUUUUCUACAUGGAGCAACUUGACUCUUGUGUUACUAUGGGUCGUGAUCAUUUUCUUGAUUUAUUACACUAAGAACAUGAGCCGUGAGGUGCACAUUGCCCAGAGAGGUGCCAUUACACCAUUGAUUAAGACGCUUCAGUCAUCAGAUGAGCAGGUCGUGGAAAUGUCAGCUUUUGCUCUUGGUCGAUUGGCUCAGGACACACACAAUCAAGCUGGCAUCGGACAAAGAGGAGGCAUCAUCUCACUACUAAAUCUUCUUGAUGUGAAUACUGGAUCUCUCCAACACAAUAUUGCAUUUGCUUAGGCCUUGCAGAUAACGAGGAAAAUCUAGCAGAUUUCAUUAAGGCUGGAGGUAUCCAAAGGCUUCAAGAUGACAACUUCACCGUUCAACCGACUAGGGAUUGUGUGGUGAGGACAUUGAAGAGGCUAGAUAACAAGAUUCAUGGGCCUGCACUGAACCAAUUAUUAUAUCUGAUGAGAACCACUGAGAAGACUAUACAAAGGCAAAUUGAUUUGGCUCUUGCACAUAUUUGUGACCCUAAAGAUGGAAAAUUGAUUUCGUUGAUAACAAUGGGGUAAGAGUUUUUUUGGAGCUUUUAUACUUUCCAAGCAUGAAAGAGCAGACAUAUUGUUAGAGACCUUUAAUCGAAUAGAAAAGCUACUUCCAGUGCACCAGAGGACUCAGCUCCUUCCUCACCCACCAAUGGCAACUGGUGUUUCUGGGUGAGGAGUUUGUGAACAACCCUACUUUGUCUGAUGUCACAUUCCCAAUCCAUGAUACAACAUUUAAUCCCAUUUUAUGUUUCUGUUAAUAUUGAGAUAUACGUCCUCUUCGCAUUCGCUAUCUUCAUUUGUAUUUCCAUUUAAAUAGAAUUUCAACAUUAUACAUGUGCAUUAAUAUGAAUGUAGACAUCUUCUCUUCUUCUUAUACAUCUGUUCUGAUAAUCACUAUGACUAUACUAAGCAAACCACUUGACUCCACCUCGACAGUUUAAAGUACAACAACACAUGUAUCUUUUAACACAGCGCGGGGGCUCAGCUCCUCAACUUUCCCUUUGUUUUUUACUAUGAGUUACCAAAGCAAAGACAGCUGGGGAUUCUUCAUAGAGACUGUACGUUGCAUUGAGUUCUGAGACGCACUUUGCAAAGGUACUAAAAAUAUUGAGCAGACUCAAAUAGCAAAAGGAUCAAGAAAGACAAGAAAUUAUCUUUAAGGCGUCGAGGAAAAGAUCUUAGACGCAUCUUUAAGGUAAGGUAGAUAGGAAAAAGGAGCGCCGCCGAUCCGAAAGUCACCAUUGUGAUAAGACUUCAUACCUUCGGUGGAAGGCAAGCAAAGAGACAUCUUUGGAGGAAGCUUGUACAUGGAGACAAGCUGCGAGGGAGCAGAUAAGUGGUUGUUAGCGAGCCCAAUGGAUCCACCGAAAGCCUUGGGGAUAGGUUUCAAGGCAGUAGCAUCGUCAGUGCACAUCAAAGUCAACGUAGAGAUCUUUCGACGUCCAUGGAGUAUACUCCAUUAGGUGUGUAUAGUAAGCCAACAAUAUGUCAGAGGAGCCUCGCAUUGACUGGUCGAUCCGUAAACGAUG